GUGAAUCAUCAAAUCUUUGAACGCAAAUUGCACUCUCUGGUAUUCCGGAGAGUAUUCCUGUUUGAGGGUAAUUAAAAAGAAUCUUUAACCAAUUUUUUUUUGUCAAAGGAAAUGAGCUCUCCCCUCUUAUAGCGGUAUCUUGAAAUAAAUGGUCAAGUCUCAUUUUAGUCUCGAUGCGUAAUACUAUUAUUUCUCUCAAUCUUCACUAUGUGACUAUCAAUUUUUUAUGCCUACAAAUUUAGUUUGUAUGCGAUCAAUACUAAUAUUUUUAA
rnacentral:misc_RNA from 1 species